rnacentral:rRNA from 1 species
GGAUGAACGCUAGCUACAGGCUUAACACAUGCAAGUCGAGGGGCAGCAUUGGGAUAGCUUGCUAUUCAGAUGGCGACCGGCGCACGGGUGAGUAACGCGUAUCCAACCUUCCUGCCAGUAGGGAACAGCCCGGCGAAAGUCGGAUUAAUGCCCUAUGUUCUUCAAUGCGGACAUCUAAGUUGAAGGAAAGAUUCAUCGCUGGCAGAUGGGGAUGCGUCCGAUUAGCUUGCCGGCGGGGUAACGGCCCACCGGGGCGACGAUCGGUAGGGGUUCUGAGAGGAAGGUCCCCCACACUGGUACUGAGACACGGACCAGACUCCUACGGGAGGCAGCAGUGAGGAAUAUUGGUCAAUGGGCGUAAGCCUGAACCAGCCAAGUAGCGUGCAGGAUGACGGCCCUACGGGUUGUAAACUGCUUUUAUGCGGGGAUAAAGUGCGGCACGUGUGCCGCUUUGCAGGUACCGCAUGAAUAAGGACCGGCUAAUUCCGUGCCAGCAGCAGC